CCCAGGGCGAUGCCCUGGGCUAAUAUAUAAAGCCCUUUCAGGGCU
rnacentral:sRNA from 1 species